UACAGAGGGUGCAAGCGUUGUUCGGAAUCAUUGGGCGUAAAGGGCGUGUAGGCGGUCUGUUAAGUCAUGUGUGAAAUCCCUCGGCUCAACCGCGGUAGGUCGUUGGAAACUGCCUCGCUAGAGUCCGGAAGAGGAGAGCGGAAUUCCUGGUGUAGCGGUGGAAUGCGCAGAUAUCAGGAGGAACACCGGUGGCGAAGGCGGGUCUCUGGGCCGACACUGACACUGAGAGACGAAAGCUAGGGGAGCGAAUGGG
rnacentral:rRNA from 1 species